GACGAACGCUGGCGGCGUGCCUAAUACAUGCAAGUAGGACGCAGUUGUGAACGGGUGAGUAACGCGUAGGUAAAUGCCUAUCAGCGGGGGAUAACCAUUGGAAACGAUAGCUAACACCGCAUACUAGUAGAUGGAACUGCGUUGUAUUAGCUCGUAGGUAGGGUAAUGGCCAACCUAGGCGACGAUACAUAGCCGGCCUGGGAGGGUAGUCGGCCACACUGGGACUGAGGAACUGCCCAGACUCCUGCAGGAAGCAGGAAGAGGGAAUCUUCGGAAAAGGGGGGAAACCUGGCCAGGCAACACCGCGUGGGUGUAAGAAGUUUUCGGAACGUAAAGCUCUGUUGUUAAGGGAGCGGUACUUAACCAGAAAGGGACGGCUAACUACGUGCCAGCAGCCGCGGUAAUUC
rnacentral:rRNA from 1 species